UAAGGGUUCACCCCCGCCUUACAUAAUCUCCGAAGUAAAAGAGCUCAACCCUUUUACAACUACACGACUAUGAUGCAUGGACAUGUAAUAAGACUCGAUAAUGCGACAACAAUCACAAUUUUCUCCACAAUAUAUAGGACAACACCCAAUUAUAUUGUUCAUCUCCACAUCAUAUGCAUUAUUAAGAAAACAUGCCCAUACAUAAAUAAAUC
rnacentral:lncRNA from 1 species